AUUGAACGCUGGCGGCAUGCCUUACACACGCAAGUCGAACGGCAGCACGGAGCUUGCUCUGGUGGCGAGUGGCGAACGGGUGAGUAAUAUAUCGGAACGUACCCUAGAGUGGGGGAUAACGUAGCGAAAGUUACGCUAAUACCGCAUACGAUCUAAGGAUGAAAGUGGGGGAUCGCAAGACCUCAUGCUCGUGGAGCGGCCGAUAUCUGAUUAGCUAGUUGGUAGGGUAAAAGCCUACCAAGGCAUCGAUCAGUAGCUGGUCUGAGAGGACGACCAGCCACACUGGAACUGAGACACGGUCCAGACUCCUACGGGAGGCAGCAGUGGGGAAUUUUGGACAAUGGGCGAAAGCCUGAUCCAGCAAUGCCGCGUGAGUGAAGAAGGCCUUCGGGUUGUAAAGCUCUUUUGUCAGGGAAGAAACGGUGAGAGCUAAUAUCUUUUGCUAAUGACGGUACCUGAAGAAUAAGCACCGGCUAACUACGUGCCAGCAGCCGCGGUAAUACGUAGGGUGCAAGCGUUAAUUGGAAUUACUGGGCGUAAAGCGUGCGCAGGCGGUUUUGUAAGUCUGAUGUGAAAUCCCCGGGCUCAACCUGGGAAUUGCAUUGGAGACUGCAAGGCUAGAAUCUGGCAGAGGGGGGUAGAAUUCCACGUGUAGCAGUGAAAUGCGUAGAUAUGUGGAGGAACACCGAUGGCGAAGGCAGCCCCCUGGGUCAAGAUUGACGCUCAUGCACGAAAGCGUGGGGAGCAAACAGGAUUAGAUACCCUGGUAGUCCACGCCCUAAACGAUGUCUACUAGUUGUCGGGUCUUAAUUGACUUGGUAACGCGGCUAACGCGUGAAGUAGACCGCCUGGGGAGUACGGUCGCAAGAUUAAAACUCAAAGGAAUUGACGGGGACCCGCACAAGCGGUGGAUGAUGUGGAUUAAUUCGAUGCAACGCGAAAAACCUUACCUACCCUUGACAUGGCUGGAAUCCUUGAGAGAUCAGGGAGUGCUCGAAAGAGAACCAGUACACAGGUGCUGCAUGGCUGUCGUCAGCUCGUGUCGUGAGAUGUUGGGUUAAGUCCCGCAACGAGCGCAACCCUUGUCAUUAGUUGCUACGAAAGGGCACUCUAAUGAGACUGCCGGUGACAAACCGGAGGAAGGUGGGGAUGACGUCAAGUCCUCAUGGCCCUUAUGGGUAGGGCUUCACACGUCAUACAAUGGUACAUACAGAGCGCCGCCAACCCGCGAGGGGGAGCUAAUCGCAGAAAGUGUAUCGUAGUCCGGAUUGUAGUCUGCAACUCGACUGCAUGAAGUUGGAAUCGCUAGUAAUCGCGGAUCAGCAUGUCGCGGUGAAUACGUUCCCGGGUCU
rnacentral:rRNA from 1 species